GACGAACGCUGGCGGCGUGCUUAACACAUGCAAGUCGAACGGAAAGGCCCUGCUUUUGUGGGGUGCUCGAGUGGCGAACGGGUGAGUAACACGUGAGUAACCUGCCCUUGACUUUGGGAUAACUUCAGGAAACUGGGGCUAAUACCGGAUAGGAGCUCCUGCUGCAUGGUGGGGGUUGGAAAGUUUCGGCGGUUGGGGAUGGACUCGCGGCUUAUCAGCUUGUUGGUGGGGUAGUGGCGUACCAAGGCUUUGACGGGUAGCCGGCCUGAGAGGGUGACCGGCCACAUUGGGACUGAGAUACGGCCCAGACUCCUACGGGAGGCAGCAGUGGGGAAUAUUGCACAAUGGGCGGAAGCCUGAUGCAGCAACGCCGCGUGCGGGAUGACGGCUUUCGGGUUGUAAACCGCUUUCGCCUGUGACGAAGCGUGAGUGACGGUAAUGGGUAAAGAAGCACCGGCUAACUACGUG
rnacentral:rRNA from 1 species